AUGUAAUCGGCCUCGAUGUAACAGGACAGAUGUAUCAGAAAAUUGAUGUAAUGGCUUUUUUCAGAUGUACAAUUACACCGAUUUUGCUUAGAAUUACAUCUGUUCAGGAUUACAUAAAAAACAAUUAACAAUUUUCCUUUCCGUUGCAUUUGUGUAAUAUUCACAUCGAGAAAAUGUCAAGAUUACACAGAAACAGCUGCAACCAAUUGGUUACGACAAUGUUGUAUACGAUUACACACAAUCGAUGUCAUAUCGCAUUCGUUUGUGAUGCAAUAUUAAGUCACGCAACACUGCUGUCAUCGACCGCAGUCUUGCGAUGAAGCAGCCAUGUUGAGUUUUCAUCUCUGAUGUGGCUGCUGUUUUUUUUCUACUUUUGCUAGCUUUUAGUAGGUAUUUCGACAAUUCUGGUAAGUUUAUAGUUUAAAAUAGAUCUAAUAUUAUCUAUUAUCUUAAAUUACAGGAAUCGCAAUGCGGACACAUUUCGGCAAAUCAUCCGAAGGUUCGAUUCCGAGUCGAUGAUAUCACCCAUCAAGCUGAGGAAGAAAUGGUAAGUCGGAUUUAAUAUUCUAGUUGAGUGAAAACUAAAUCAUUGGCUAUUUUCAGGAAGAUAAAGAGUGCGAGUUCAAGCACCGAGCAACGAGCCGUGCGGGCUAGAAUCGAACUGCUCCCUGUUCUGCUGGUGGAGUGCAAUCUCCGGGUAUAUUCAGCUGGUGAAAGCCGUAAGGAACAAAGUUUUGGCAUCGGGCGGAUAACACAGCAGGGCGAAAUACCGUUCUCUGCUGGAGGAUCCUUCGGUCGGCGGUCGAACGAAGUCAGGCAAAAAUACACAACGUAUCGGAGCGUAUCCUAUGUGGCAGCUGACAAAAUGCCUAGAAAGACGAAACACCCGGAGGUCGCAAGAGCAGUAAGAUGAAAUCGGUGGUGGUGUAUCCGGCCCAGGGUGAUGAGGACACAGUCUAGCUCGAACCACCAGUGAAAAUGAAUGGGGGCUAUGGAAGCAUGACUAAAGAGACUGCUCUGGAGGAGACCCCAAUGACGUCAUGCUGGAGGAAGAACCGACUGCCUUAUCGGUCAAUUGGGGCAAAAAUCGUCUGAUAGUGCCAAGUGCCCAUUCUGCAUAGGGAGUGUGCUGUUCCAAGGAGUUUCGGACCUGGUGUAGGCAAGCGGACAGGAAAGUUGUCCAUCGUUUCAUUACGAAAAACUCGAUCACAUCUCGUACGGGGCAGUUCGCAUAGGUGUUCGGAUGUUUUCGCAUUGGUUGUUCCUGUGACGACGUGUACAAGAUAAUGGAAUUUGACAUUAGUGAUAUUAGAGCAAAUAGGCGAUCCGGAUCGGAUCCAUUUUCCCUGGACUACACACGGGUGACAACGCAGCCAUCUUCGAGUCAGUGGCAGUCAGCAUUAACCCUAGCGCAGUCGGAAUAUCCUUUUCGUUCUAAAGUGUCAAGAUGACUCGGGGACCGAAGAAACAUUUGGAGCGUAUGAACGCCUCAAAAAGAUGUUGGACCAGACCAGACCAGGUUAACUUUGCCCCGCGUUCAUCCAUGGACCCACACGCUUGUGAUUUUCUUUCGCAUCUGCAGUACGUCUUGACCACCAUCGAUGUCACCAAGAUCUGUAACGUCACAUUUAGAUCGAUGGCAAGGUUCGCAGUGACUUCAACUACCCGGUCGGAUUCAUGACUCACUCUUUGAUCUACGACGCCAAGGAUCGUUUCACCGUUCACCGUAUUACCGCGGAGGAAGUGAAGUACAAGCUCCUGAAGGUGAGGUGCGUCAGAUCGGCCGUGGAAGGUGCCGUUCAUCUUGAUUGGAUCCGAGCAUCAACCAGAACGAUUAUUGUCACCGGUGAUGGGCGUGCUCAAGCUCGACCACGAAGAUCUGUGCGUGGCCAACUAUCAGAACGGAAGAUGAGCGGUUUGCAUGCGUGUAAUCGCUUUUUUAAACAGUGAGAAGAAGACCUGAUUUGAAUGCUGAAAAUACAAAAAUCCGUUUAUACCUAAUACCAUUAUGAAAGGAAACUGAAAUAUGUAUUAGAAUACGAAAGGCUUAGCCGAAGCGGUAUACAAGCGAUGUUCAAUUUCCGUUCGAUUUAGGAUAGGGUGACGAUGGAUAUUAUCGGCAGGUUUGUUCUAUUCGUCAUGAAGAAAUUUUGUCGGCCAAACUACCUGAAACUUGGUCGUAUAAUUCAGCUUGAUUGGGAAGGAUUUGAGGCCUAGGUACUCUGAGUUCAACAGCUUUCAAAAAUCCCCCAUGCCGAAGAGAACAAAACUGCCAAAAUACGCAAUUUCCCCUAUUUUCAUAUCCCAGUUGGGACAAAAACAAUAAAGGAAGCAAUACAUAUUAGUUCAACGCUUUA